GUCUACAGCCAUACUACCUGAACAAGCCCGAUCCCCUUUGAUCUCGGAAGCUAAGCAGGGCCGGGCCUGGUUAGUACAUGGAUGAGAGACACCUAAGAAGACCAGGUGCUGUAGGCA
rnacentral:rRNA from 1 species